rnacentral:rRNA from 1 species
AUACGGAGAAUCCGAGCGUUAUCCGGAUUUAUUGGGUUUAAAGGGUGCGCAGGCGGCCAUUUAAGUCAGCGGUUAAAUCGUGGGGCUCAACCCCAUUCUGCCGUUGAUACUGGGUGGCUUGAUUGCGGUCGAGGUUGGCGGAAUUCGUUGUGUAGCGGUGAAAUGCAUAGAUAUGACGAAGAACACCGAUUGCGUAGGCAGCUGACCAGACCGCAAAUGACGCUCAUGCACGAAAGUGCGGGGAUCGAACAGGAUUAGAUACCCUGGUAGUCCGCACAGUAAACGAUGAAUACUUGUUUUCGGCGAUAUAAUGUCGGAGGCAAAGCGAAAGCGAUAAGUAUUCCACCUGGGGAGUACGCCGGCAACGGUGAACCUCAAAGGAAUUGACGGGG